rnacentral:rRNA from 1 species
UUCCGGUUGAUCCUGCCGGAGGCGACCGCUUUUGGAGUUCGAUUAAGCCAUGCGAGUCGAGAGCUUUCGGAGCUCGGCAUACUGCUCAGUAACACGUGGAUAACCUGCCCUAUUGUCUGGAAUAACCUCGGGAAACUGAGAACAAUGCCGGAUAGCCCACAAUGCCUGGAACGGUUUGUGGGUGAAGAUAGGAUGGGUCUGCGGCGUAUCAGGUCGUAGGGGGUGUAAUGGACCUCCUAGCCAUCGACGCGUACGGGUGUUGGGAGACAUAGCCCGGAGAUGGAUUCUGAGACACGAAUCCAGACCCUACGGGGUGCAGCAGGCGCGAAAACUUCACACUGCAGGAAACUGUGAUGAGGGAACUCCAAGUGCUAUCACUAUGUGGUAGCUUUUCUUAACUAUUAAUCGGUUUUGGAAUAAGGGCUGGGAAAGACCGGUGCCAGCCGCCGCGGUAAUACCGGCAGCUCAAGUGGUCGUCGCUUUUAUUGGGCCUAAAACGUCCGUAGCCUGUUUGGUAAAUCUGUGGGUAAAUCAACCAGCUUAACUGGUUGAAUUCUGCAGAGACUGCCAGACUAGGGACCGGGAGAGGUGUGGGGUACUCUAGGGGUAGGGGUAAAAUCCUGUCGUCCUUAGAGGACCACCAGUUGCGAAGGCGCCACACUGGAACGGAUCCGACGGUCAGGGACGAAGCCUAGGGGCACGAACCGGAUUAGAUACCCGGGUAGUCCUAGGUGUAAACGCUGUGAACUUGGUGUCGGGGAUCCGUAAUGGGUUCUCGGUGCCGGAGUGAAGAUGUUAAGUUCACUGCCUGGGGAGUACGGUCGCAAGGCUGAAACUUAAAGGAAUUGGCGGGGCAGCAC